ensembl:lncRNA
CUCGCCCAGCUGCUGGGUCCUGGUCUUGCGCGCAGCUCACGUGCAGUCCCCACGUGCAGUCCCCACGUGCUGCUGCUGCGCCAGGUGGGUCACAGGCCGCAAGUGGGUCACGUGUGGCCCCUGCAGCCAACCAGGAGCGCCGGCCGGUAGGCGGUGGUCUUGGUGUAGAUGAUGUCCACCCACAGCAGCGUCCUGUGCCCAGGCUUGGCUCCAGUGGUUCCAUGGACUCAAAAGCAGAAGUUCCAGGUCUUCUCAAGGCUUAGCCUGGGAACUGGCACCACCACUAUAUCCUAUGAUUAAAGCUAAUCAUGAGAUGAAGUUCACUGGUCCCUGCUGUAGGUUCUUCAGAAAGGAAGAUGAGCAUCUGGAAUUUUCCCUACGGCACAAGGAGUGGCCGACAUGUGGAAUUUCCAUAUAGGGAAUCAGGAGCAUCUGGGGUCUGUCACCCUUGAAAACACUGUCUGUUGUCCCCAGACAUGGAAAUUUCCUCCAAUGUUGAUGGAAGUAUCCAGCUCUGUAGAGACUCUGAGUCUUACACAGGGCUUCUCUCUCUCUCUUUCUUUGUAAAAGGAAUUUUCUUAUUCAGUGAGUGUGUGUAGAAUAUUCACUAACAGUGUGUUUCAUAAUAGGUUGGAAGAUGAAGGAUAGAGAAUGUCUCUGAUUUCCAAGAACUUGCUGUCUAGGUGAAAUGAAGUGAAGUGAAUUGAAGAUGCUCGGUCAUGUCCAACUCUUUGCGACCCCAUGGACUGUAGCCCACCAGGCUCCUCCAUUCACAGGAUUUUCCAGGCAAGAGUACUGGAGUGGGUUGCCAUUUCCUUCUCCAGAGGGUCUUCCUGACCCAGGGGUCGAACCCGGGCCUCCUGCAUCGUAGGCAGAUCAGGGAAAUCCCACCAGGGAAAUUCACCAUGUCUAGGUGAAUGACGCAUAUAGAUCGUCAUUAUCGAUAGUAUUGAUGCUAACUUGAGGAUGAUUUGUGUGUGUGCGUGUGCGUGUG